GUGGGGAAUAUUGGACAAUGGGCGAAAGCCUGAUCCAGCAAUGCCGCGUGAGUGAUGAAGGCCUUAGGGUUGUAAAGCUCUUUUACCCGGGAUGAUAAUGACAGUACCGGGAGAAUAAGCUCCGGCUAACUCCGUGCCAGCAGCCGCGGUAAUACGGAGGGAGCUAGCGUUGUUCGGAAUUACUGGGCGUAAAGCGCACGUAGGCGGCUUUGUAAGUUAGAGGUGAAAGCCUGGAGCUUAACUCCAGAACUGCCUUUAAGACUGCAUCGCUUGAAUCCAGGAGAGGUGAGUGGAAUUCCGAGUGUAGAGGUGAAAUUCGUAGAUAUUCGGAAGAACACCAGUGGCGAAGGCGGCUCACUGGACUGGUAUUGACGCUGAGGUGCGAAAGCGUGGGGAGCAAACAGGAUUAGAUACCCUAGUAGUCC
rnacentral:rRNA from 1 species